CCUACGGGUGGCAGCAGUGGGGGAUAUUGCACAAUGGGGGGAACCCUGAUGCCGCGACGCCGCGUGGGUGAAGGAGCGUUUCGGCGCGUACAGCCCUUUCGGCAGGGAAGAUGAUGACGGUACCUGACCAAGAAGCCCCGGCUAACUCCGUGCCAGCAGCCGCGGUUAUACGUAGGGGGCAAGCGUUAUCCGGAUUUACUGGGGGUAAAGGGGGCGCAGACGGCAAUGCAAGUCAGGAGUGAAAGCCCGGGGCCUAACCACGGGACUGCACUUGGAACUGCAUGGCUGGAGUACAGGAGGGGCAGGCGGAAUGCGUAGUGUAGCGGUGAAAUGCGUAGAGAUUAGGAGGAACACCGGUGGCGAAGGCGGCCUGCUGGACUGUGACUGACGCUGAGGCCCGAAGGCGUGGGGAGCAAACAGGAUUAGAUACCCCAGUAGUC
rnacentral:rRNA from 1 species